UCGGAUCGCAGGCUGCAACCCGCCUGCGUGAAGUUGGAAUCGCUAGUAAUCGCGGAUCAGCAUGCCGCGGUGAAUACGUUCCCGGGCCUUGUACACACCGCCCGUCACACCAUGAGAGUCGGGAACACCCGAAGUCCGUAGCCUAACCGCAAGGGGGGCGCGGCCGAAGGUGGGUUCGAUAAUUGGGGUGAAGUCGUAACAAGGUACC
rnacentral:rRNA from 1 species